GCUGAGGUGGCGGAGUGGUCAAACGCAUCAGUCUGUAAAACUGACGCCUUAACGGGCUACCCAGGUUCGAAUCCUGGCCUCAGCA
rnacentral:tRNA from 1 species